rnacentral:rRNA from 1 species
GACGAACCGUGCGAACGUUAUUCGGAAUCACUGGGCUUAAAGCGCGUGUAGGCGGGCCGCCACGUCGGCUGCUGAAAUCCCCCGGCUCAACCGGGGAACGGGCACCGAUACGAGCGGCCUGGAGGGGGGGUAGGGGGGCCUGGAACUCCGGUGGAGCGGUGAAAUGCGUUGAGAUCGGAAGGAACGCCCGUGGCGAAAGCGAGGCCCUGGACCCUUACUGACGCUGAGACGCGAAAGCCAGGGGAGCGAACGGG